rnacentral:misc_RNA from 1 species
GAUGAAGAACGUAGCGAAAUGCGAUAAGUAAUGUGAAUUGCAGAAUUCAGUGAAUCAUCGAAUCUUUGAACGCACAUUGCGCCCCUUGGUAUUCCGAGGGGCAUGCCUAUUCGAGCGUCAUUAUCACCCCUCAAGCCUAGCUUGGUGUUGAGACCUGCUGUCAAGGCAGUCUCUAAAAUCAGUGGCAGUGCUGUCAGGCUCUAAGCGUAGUAAAUCUAAUCGCUAUAGACACCUGGUGGACACUCGCCAGAACCCCCCCAUUUUUUAAUGAUUGACCUCUGAUUAGGUAGGGAUACCCGCUGAACUUAAGCAUAUCAAUAAGCGGAGGA